rnacentral:lncRNA from 1 species
UUUUAUACAAAAUCAGAUUCUGAAUUACAUAGAAUUUUCAAUAAGGGCUUUCAAAAUCACAUUAUAGCUCAUCUUAAAUGAUUACGAUUGAAAAUACAUAUUUCAAACAUAUAAGAGCAUAUUCAGAAUCUUUGUAUUAAAUGUUGAGUUUUGGUACUAAAUGGAGGAUUUUUUAACAAGUAUUAGGGUAUUAUGUAUCAAAGUUA